CACAGCGCUGUGUUGUGUGCUGUGCUCUAGCCGCGUUUCAUUUCAUUUCAUUUUGGUCAUAAUGCUGGAAACGUGUUUUUCCACUCGUACCACAGAGCAGGCAGCAGACAACAGCCACAGCAGUCAUCGAAAUAUACGAUAUAUAUGUGUAUGUAUAUAUGCAACUAUAUAUAAUAAAAUAAUCUAUGGCGAGGCGUUUUAUUUUAUAGUUUUUAAUAUGCAUAAACUUGUAUUGCCUUUUUGGAAUCCGUAUUGGCUCGUUGUUUGCCAGAAAUUUCGCAUGUUAUCGCCGCGUUUGACAAGUGUCAGGUAGCUCUGGCACAAUGCAACAAAACAGAUACAAAAACAAAAAAACAACAGACUUUCAGGAGCGUGUUGUAUUUGUUGGUUGGGUGGGGAGGAGGGAGGCAGGCAGGCGGCGCUCCAAUUGGCAUUGAAAAUGGAAAAUAUUGUUUUGGUCUGAUCUGCCAAGUGUUUUUUUUUUGUUUUUUUUUGGGGCCUCUGUCUGGCUUUAUCAAUGGCAAAUGGCAUGAGUCAUGUGGCAUGGGGGAGGUGGAGAUGGCGAUUUAUCUGUUCUUCAAUUAUAACUAUUAAUACACCUCUCAACCUUUAAAUAUUCCGAGGACUGAUGACUUUUCUGUUAACAAUCACCUUUAGCUCUUACUUAAAACUUUUCAGAAGAUUUAACUUUUGUUUUUGCUUUAAAAUUACAAAGAAAUUAAGUUUUUUUUUUUAAUUGUUUUCUAUAACUCACAAUUGAUCUUUCCACAGAUUUCAAUGUACCCUACCUCAAGAAAUUUCAUGACAUUUUCGUUGCUUUUCUAUUUAACUUUUUGUAAGUCACCUUUUCCUGCCUUUGCACUUUUUCGCCACUUUAAACAAUACAUAUAUGUUUCCACACU